rnacentral:rRNA from 1 species
AGGUCAGCGGCGGACGGGUGAGUAACACGUGGGUAACCUGCCUGUAAGACUGGGAUAACUCCGGGAAACCGGGGCUAAUACCGGAUGCUUGAUUGAACCGCAUGGUUCAAUCAUAAAAGGUGGCUUUUAGCUACCACUUGCAGAUGGACCCGCGGCGCAUUAGCUAGUUGGUGAGGUAACGGCUCACCAAGGCGACGAUGCGUAGCCGACCUGAGAGGGUGAUCGGCCACACUGGGACUGAGACACGGCCCAGACUCCUACGGGAGGCAGCAGUAGGGAAUCUUCCGCAAUGGACGAAAGUCUGACGGAGCAACGCCGCGUGAGUGAUGAAGGUUUUCGGAUCGUAAAACUCUGUUGUUAGGGAAGAACAAGUACCGUUCGAAUAGGGCGGUACCUUGACGGUACCUAACCAGAAAGCCACGGCUAACUACGUGCCAGCAGCCGCGGUAAUACGUAGGUGGCAAGCGUUGUCCGGAAUUAUUGGGCGUAAAGCGCGCGCAGGCGGUUUCUUAAGUCUGAUGUGAAAGCCCCCGGCUCAACCGGGGAGGGUCAUUGGAAACUGGGGAACUUGAGUGCAGAAGAGGAGAGUGGAAUUCCACGUGUAGCGGUGAAAUGCGUAGAGAUGUGGAGGAACACCAGUGGCGAAGGCGACUCUCUGGUCUGUAAC